UACGUAGGGGGCGAGCGUUGUCCGGAUUUAUUGGGCGUAAAGAGCUCGUAGGCGGCUUAGCAAGUCGGGUGUGAAAACUCCAGGCUCAACCUGGAGACGCCACUCGAGACUGCUAUGGCUAGAGUCCGGUAGGGGACCACGGAAUUCCUGGUGUAGCGGUGAAAUGCGCAGAUAUCAGGAGGAACACCAGUGGCGAAGGCGGUUACCUGGAGCUUUGCUGACGCUGAUGCGCGAAAGCGUGGGGAGCAAACAGG
rnacentral:rRNA from 1 species